AUUUAGGAUCUGUGGUGCCCCAAAAUUUUAAUUUGGGAUCUGUGCCCUAAAAUUUGAUUUUGGGAGCUGUGGUGCCCCAAAAUAUACUACGGACAGACGGACGCCAAAGUGAAACUAUAAGGCUUUCGGCCAUGGGCCACGAAACCCUAAAAAUGGCAAUCAAAGAAAAUCAAAAAUUGGCAAAAAUCAAAAUUGAUAAAAAAGGUAAAUGAAAGAAAAAAGAAAGAGUGGCUGCGGAGUGGAGGUCUUUUUUCUAUCAUUUAUCUUUUUUGAUUCACAAACAAAAACAUUAGGUAAAAUGUCCAUUCGAUAAUGUCCACUAUUAAGACAUGAACUAUUAGAGACAUGUCAACUAUAGGGACAUGUCAACUACUGGGACAUGCCCCUAUAGAGACAUGUCAACUAUUGGGACAUGUCAAUUACUGAGACAGGUCAACUACUGGGACAUGUCAACUAUUGGGGUUUGUACUACGGACAGACGGACGCCAAAGUGAAACUAUAAGGCUUUCGGCCAUGGGCCACGAAACCCUAAAAAUGGCAAUCAAAGAAAAUCAAAAAUUGGCAAAAAUCAAAAUUGAUAAAAAAGGUAAAUGAAAGAAAAAAGAAAGAGUGGCUGCGGAGUGGAGGUCUUUUUUCUAUCAUUUAUCUUUUUUGAUUCACAAACAAAAACAUUAGGUAAAAUGUCCAUUCGAUAAUGUCCACUAUUAAGACAUGAACUAUUAGAGACAUGUCAACUAUAGGGACAUGUCAACUACUGGGACAUGCCCCUAUAGAGACAUGUCAACUAUUGGGACAUGUCAAUUACUGAGACAGGUCAACUACUGGGACAUGUCAACUAUUGGGGUUUGUACUACGGACAGACGGACGCCAAAGUGAAACUAUAAGGCUUUCGGCCAUGGGCCACGAAACCCUAAAAAUC